AUGGGCAAUAUUGAAACUGUACUUUCCAGUAGUAUCGCUGCUGUUUUUUUUGCAGCUUUCGUAGUUGCUGGAACUAUGUGGUAUGGGUCAGCAACGACUCCAAUCGAAUUAUUUGGGCCUACUCGUUAUCAGUGGGCCGAAAAUCUUAGUUUAUCAGAAGCUUGGUCUAAAAUUGCCGAAAAAUUAGCCUUUUAUGAUUAUACUGGUAAUAAUCCGGCAAAAGGGGGAUUAUUCAGAGCAGGUUCAAUCGACAAUGGGGAUGGAAUAGCUGUUGAAUGGUUAGGACAUCCCGUCUUUAGAGAUAAAGAAGGACGUUAG
rnacentral:rRNA from 1 species